UAUAUUGAAAAUUGAAAAAAUGCAUUACAGGAAAUUAAGUUUCGCAUUGCGACACAUUUUCAAUCGAAGCUUAGGCAUUAACCAAAUAUGUAAGAAUUUUUUUGGACACUAGCAUUGGGGCUGGCUGAUACAUUUAAACCCGCACCAACAACAUAGGAAGUUAAUAUUUUACGACCGAUCUGCAAUAAUUAUAUUAUCUAUUACACAAAAAUAUAAAGAUUAACUACAUCUUGAUUUUAGUCCGAGAGCGACAUCUUCCUCACUUUGUUCGGCAGUUCCGCCCACUGUGCAGCUUACAGUUUACUCUUUAUGCGCUCUUCGCAUCUCUUUAUGCUGCUAUUCGCUUUCCAUAAGCACUCCCCCAUUUAGGUCACGAAACAGCUCGCCGAGUGGUUGGCUGGGGAUCGACGUAAAUGUGUGUGGGCGUGGAUUCAAUUGUUCUGCACAUACAUAUUGUUGCACGAAUUACGAGAAUUGUCUCUUUCGCUCCUUGUAUUUAAAGCCACGGUUUUCUAUCUCUCUCACUCAAUCGGCCCCAGCCCCCUUCCCCAUAGAACAGCUUUUGUCUCUGUCUAGCCUGUACGCGAGUAUGCUUAACUCAGCCGAGUGAAUACAUGAGUGCCAAGAAACAAAAACCUUUUUGUUUCUACUCGACUCCAAAAUCGAUAGAAAGAAAGCCAAGGAGGGCAUUGUCCAACAAAAUCGUACCUAUGUACAAUCAAGCUCCGCCCCUUUUCGUGCAGCGACGUCACGAGUAGUGGUGGUUACUGCUCCGCUUGUCUCAGCCAAUUGUCUCGUCAAUUAUUUGCUAUUGUACUGCAGUAUUGCGUUUCGGUUGGUGGACGAAUAGCGGGAAGCUGGUAUAUUUAUAAGCAACACAUGGACUCGCCCUGGCAACUCGUACAUGAAAUGACGCCGUCAACGUCCCCACAGUUAGACAACAGAUCAAUCGCCAUUCAAGUCGAUACAGCGAUCGGCUUCACGCUCACACCAACCACAAAUCGGCUUCACUGGCUAAUACGACGACCAGGCGAAGACUGAAGAGGCGACAUCCAGGAGACCUUUAGACAAGGGGGAGGCAAAGAACGCGAGUGCUUCAAAACUAGCGAAAACUAUUCUGAUCGAACUUAUUAUUCAAAUUUAUAAUUAAUCUUUGCUGUUAUGUUUUAAUGUUAUUUUCAUUGCCUCUGUUAGUUCCUACGUUUUAAAGCCAUUCAAUUGCUUGCUUAACGUAAAAUAAUGUUUAUAUUAUAUACAAAAAAAUUAAAAUACCAGGAAAUGACUUAACUCGUCAAUAAAUUGAUUUUGAGCCAUGAAUGUAAUGGCUGCAUUUGUACACGCA
rnacentral:sRNA from 1 species